rnacentral:rRNA from 1 species
CCUACGGGGAGCAGCAGUGGGGAAUAUUGGUCAAUGGGCGCAAGCCUGACCCAGCAACGCCGCGUGAAGGAAGAAGGCUUUCGGGUUGUAAACUUCUUUUUAGAGGGAAGAGCAGAAGACCGUACCUCUUUAAUAAGCCACGGCUAACUACGUGCCAGCAGCCACGGGAAUACGUAGGUGGCAAGCGUUGGCCGGAUUUACUGGGUGUAAAGGGAGUGUAGCCGGGCUGACAAGUCAGAUGUGAAAUUCCGGGGCUCAACCCCGGACCUGAAUGUGAAACUGUUGGUCUUGAGUAUCGGAGAGGCAGGCGGAAUUCCUAGUGUAGCGGUGAAAUGCGUAGAUAUUAGGAGGAACACCAGUGGCGAAGGCGGCCUGCUGGACGACAACUGACGGUGAGGCGCGAAAGCGUGGGGAGCAAACAGGAUUAGAUACCCUUGUAGUC